AGUGAACGCUGGCGGUAGGCCUAACACAUGCAAGUCGAACGGCAGCACAGUAAGAGCUUGCUCUUACGGGUGGCGAGUGGCGGACGGGUGAGGUAUACAUCGGAAUCUACUUUUUCGUGGGGGAUAACGUAGGGAAACUUACGCUAAUACCGCAUACGACCUACGGGUGAAAGCAGGGGAUCUUCGGACCUUGCGCGAUUGAAUGAGCCGAUGUCGGAUUAGCUAGUUGGCGGGGUAAAGGCCCACCAAGGCGACGAUCCGUAGCUGGUCUGAGAGGAUGAUCAGCCACACUGGAACUGAGACACGGUCCAUGCUCCUACGGGAGGCAGCAGUGGGGAAUAUUGGACAAUGGGCGCAAGCCUGAUCCAGCCAUACCGCGUGGGUGAAGAAGGCCUUCGGGUUGUAAAGCCCUUUUGUUGGGAAAGAAAAGCAGCAGGUUAAUACCCCGCUGUUCUGACGGUACCCAAAGAAUAAGCACCGGCUAACUUCGUG
rnacentral:rRNA from 1 species